CCCUGCACUUUGGAGGACCUAGAAGACCUUAGCUCCCCCUCCAACAACAGGGCAGCUUUCCUUUUUUCAGCUUCUUCUGAUUCUUCUUCAUCUCCUGCAAAAACCAGGAGUAAAGGGCGCACCUGCUUCUCCAAUCCAUCUUCUCUUCACGCUCCUUCACUCACUGAUAACCCACACCUUCUGAAUCAAAAUCCCAGGGUCUACGAUACUAAGAAUGUAACAAAAGAGAGGAUAAAAAGGGCUUCAUCCAUGCUUGAAGUUUGCUGUCUUCUUCUUUCAUAUUUCUGGGUUCAAUAACGUUUUCUUGAAGUUUUGUUGCUGUUCGUUGCUUAGUCUGCUAACCUCCGCUUCUCUGGCCCCUUUAAAUGGUAUUUUUUAGCUGUUUUCUGCAACCAGGUAAUCAACCAUCGGCUCAAGAGAAAAGAGAGAUACUCACAUAUGGGAUGUAUCAGAAAAUUGCUUUACUGGAUAUUUUGAACAGCAGUGCAAUACAAAUGAAGCUAGCAGGGGUUCUUAGAAAUGCGGAGAUAUAAGAUGAUGAUGAUUCUGUUUACUAACGUUAUUUUCUGAUCUAGAAUUUCAGUUAGGAUGUUUUAAUUGUGAAAUUAUUAUGUUGUGCCAUUCGUCAGAUACGUCACUAUAAUUAUAGCAGUAUUUGUUUAAACUGUCAAAACUUAUCUACACAAUCAGAGGCGGACCCAAGAUUUAAG